CCUCCAUGAUGGAGGCUAUUUGAGCGUGAAAAACAAUACAGUUAGCCAUUGUUAGCUAACGUUAGCAGCUAGCUAGCGUUAUAUAGACAACAUCUAUAAACCAAGUCCUGUAUCCAACGCGAAUGAAAGACUACCUGGGCUCUUGUGGACAUUCCUGCAGUCAGCAUUCCAAUUGCACGCUCCCUUGAGACAUCUGUGGCAUUGUGUUGUGUGAAACAACUGCACAUUUUAGUGCCCCCCGGCUCCUGCGGCAAGGACCUCAACAUGACAGCAGGACAUAUGCCCAGGCCGUAAGCAGAGCAACAGGCCCAACCCCCACUAUUACACCCGCCCAAGCUCCUGUGACCUAAGAGGACCUGAGCCCUAGGAUCAUGCCUCAAGACUACAUGGCAUGAUGACUCCUUGCUGUCCCCA